rnacentral:lncRNA from 1 species
AAAAAAAAAUUGUAAGAUGCCUAUUUCAAAGAGGAAAAAUAAUUGGGGAUGGUGUUUCAUGGUGGGGAUUACGAUGCUUGCGUGCAGGUAUAUUUAUCUUGGGCUAUUCGACAGUAAAGUAGAAGCAGCAAGGUCCUAGUGAUCAUGAAUUACUCUACCUGAUACUGAAUUUAUUACCCUGAAUUCUCAACCUCAAUAGGGUUCUAUCCAACACUUGUCUACCUUUUGAUUUUUUCUGGAAAUCAGGGCUUAUGACAAGGCAGCUAUCAAAAGUAAUGGACGGGAGGCAGUCACUAACUUUGAGCUGAGUACAUAUGAAGGGGAGAUGGUCUUUGAUACCAGGAACAAAGGUAUUAUUUGCUACCAUCACUUAUUCAGUCCGUGAUGUUGAAAAUAAUCUUGAAAUCAGGGUUACUUUACAAAGAAACUUCUGUGAUAACAGCUCCUGCUAACUUGUCUUUUUGAACUCUCUUUAUGCAGGCAAUAGUCACAACCUUGAUCUGAACCUGGGGAUAUCUCUGCCUGUUAGCAAUGGUCCCAAGGAAAAGGAAAAUGCGAGGCAUCUCCAAAUGAAUAACGGAAAGAGUUUAAGGGUAACUUUUGAAUCGAAUUAUUUUGAAUUUACUUGUAUGUUUCAUCACAUUGGUAAUCUUGUUCUUCAACGUACUAUUGAAUAUUGAUGUCCUGCAUGAGCAUUAGGAAGAGGUGGUGUUAAUCUGUUAGCCUUAGCUGAUCUUGAAGCACCAUAUGUGGCAUGUUUGGAUGACAAUUGAACAUCUUGACUUAGUUUAACUCGAUAAAGGUAUUGAUCAUGUUCUCUAUGAUUUACUUCUGCAGGCAGAGAACCCUGCAGCUGCAACAUUUAGUGUUCCAUCUUUCCAAGGGUUAGCGGGGACUUCAGAUCAGCCUAUUUUCUGGAAUAGUGCAUAUCCGAGAUUCUUUCCUAGUGAGGUACACCUCAUCGCUUAGCUUCUAAAUCAUUAAACAUUGUUCAAUCCUUUCAUCAUUAGGACUUUACACCAAAAAAAAAACUGCUCACGUCCUCACCGCGAUAAUUUCCUAUUACUUGGUAAAUCAACCCAUGUUGUUAUAGUUGAGUUGAUUCUGCCAUAACUUUGCUGCUGAUGUGAACUUAUUUUCAUGUGCAAUGAACGGUGUUUAAUAUUCUCUAUUAGGACUUGAAAGUUUGAAGGGUUUUAGUCGUAGAUUGGAAUAUUUAUUAAUGGAAAACAUGCUCAUAUAAUAUGUCAUUAGCUAUAUUUUCAGGAUCCAUAUAUAUAUACACACACAUCAUAAUCUCAAUAAUAUCGUGUUUUUUUUUAUGAGCAAGAUGUUAACAUGCCAGAUGCCACCUACUAAAAGAAGCAAAAAAUGGACAAGAUGAUAACGCAAUUUUGAUUUGUUUUUUCCAGGAAAGAACAAUGGUGAAACCGGUUGAAUUCGAUCCUCCACAACGUGUCCCUGAUUGGCCGUGGCAAAUGCACGGUCAGGUCAGUACUACACUAAUGCCACUGUUCUCUCAUGCAGCAUCAUCAAGAUUCUCAUUCUCAGCUACCCCUCCUUCAACCGCCACUGCCAUUCUUCCAUCCAAACCUCAAAACACAACAGCAGUCCACAGUCUAUGUUUUGCUGCCUCAACCAGUAACACCAUCAACACCCCUCAACAUAGUCGGUCGUAAGUUCAAUUGUACCAC